rnacentral:rRNA from 1 species
AACCCUUUGUUGUCCGACUCUGUUGCCUCCGGGGCGACCCUGCCUUCGGGCGGGGGCUCCGGGUGGACACUUCAAACUCUUGCGUAACUUUGCAGUCUGAGUAAACUUAAUUAAUAAAUUAAAACUUUUAACAACGGAUCUCUUGGUUCUGGCAUCGAUGAAGAACGCAGCGAAAUGCGAUAAGUAAUGUGAAUUGCAGAAUUCAGUGAAUCAUCGAAUCUUUGAACGCACAUUGCGCCCCCUGGUAUUCCGGGGGGCAUGCCUGUUCGAGCGUCAUUUCACCACUCAAGCCUCGCUUGGUAUUGGGCAACGCGGUCCGCCGCGUGCCUCAAAUCGACCGGCUGGGUCUUCUGUCCCCUAAGCGUUGUGGAAACUAUUCGCUAAAGGGUGUUCGGGAGGCUACGCCGUAAAACAACCCCAUUUCUAAGGUUGACCUCGGAUCAGGUAGGGAUACCCGCUGAACUUAAGCAUAC